rnacentral:rRNA from 1 species
GACGAACGCUGGCGGCGUGCUUAACACAUGCAAGUCGAACGGAAAGGCCCUGCUUUUGUGGGGUGCUCGAGUGGCGAACGGGUGAGUAACACGUGAGUAACCUGCCCUUGACUUUGGGAUAACUUCAGGAAACUGGGGCUAAUACCGGAUAGGAGCUCCUGAUGCAUGGUGGGGGUUGGAAAGUUUCGGCGGUUGGGGCUGGACUCGCGGCUUAUCAGCUUGUUGGUGGGGUAGUGGCUUACCAAGGCUUUGACGGGUAGCCGGCCUGAGAGGGUGACCGGCCACAUUGGGACUGAGAUACGGCCCAGACUCCUACGGGAGGCAGCAGUGGGGAAUAUUGCACAAUGGGCGGAAGCCUGAUGCAGCAACGCCGCGUGCGGGAUGACGGCCUUCGGGUUGUAAACCGCUUUCGCCGGUGACGAAGCGUGAGUGACGGUAAUGGGUAAAGAAGCACCGGCUAACUACGUG